rnacentral:miRNA from 1 species
UUUCCUGCCUCUCACUAGCUU